rnacentral:rRNA from 1 species
CAGUCAUAUGCUUGUUUCAAAGAUUAAGCCAUGCAUGUGUCAGUACUAGCCUACCUAAGGUGAAACCGCGAAUGGCUCAUUAAACCAGUCAUGAUUUACAGGAUUUUGAAAAAUCCUUACUCGGAUAACUGUGGUAAUUCUAGAGCUAAUACGUGCAAUUAGUCUCCGACCCCGCGGCGGUCCUCGGAUGACGAGUCCGUCGUAGGGGGAAGGGCGCAUUUAUUAGACCAAAAACCGGGUGGACUUUGGCGUAUUGCGGGGUCGGCUCCGGGCGGCGGAAAAAGGGGGUACAUGCCUCCCCGUUCGUCCCGGCUGUCGCAGCUUCGCUCUUCGUCAUAAGAGGGUCCAUGCCUUUGAAGGUUUCGUGGUGACUCUGGAUAACUACUGCCGAGCGCUGAGGUCUUCGUACCGGCGCCGCAUCCUUCGAGUGUCUGCCUUAUCAGCUGUGGAUUGUAGGUUAUUCGCCUACAAUGGCUGUAACGGGUAACGGGGAAUCAGGGUUCGAUUCCGGAGAGGGAGCCUGAGAAACGGCUACCACAUCUAAGGAAGGCAGCAGGCACGCAAAUUACCCAAUCCUGGCUCGGGGAGGUAGUGACGAGAAAUAACGAUGUGGGACUCUUCCGAGGCCUCACAAUCGGAAUGAGACCGAUGUAAACACGUGGUCGAGGAUCCAUUGGAGGGCAAGUCUGGUGC